AACGCACCUUGCGCCCUUUGGCUAUUCCGAAGGGCAUGCCUGUUUGAGUAUCAUGAACACCUCAACUCUCGUGGCUUGCCACGAUGAGCUUGGACCUUGGGGGUCUUGCUGGCAUAUGUGUGUCAGCUCCUCUCAAAUGAAUCAGCUUGCCAGUGUUUGGUGGCGUCACAGGUGUGAUAACUAUCUACGCUUGUGGCUUUCCACCAGGUAACCUUCAGUGAUGGAGGUUCACUGGAGCUCAUAAAUGUCUCUCCUUGGCGAGGACAGAUUUUGACCGUUUGAUCUCAAAUCAGGUAGGACUACCCGCUGAACUUAA
rnacentral:rRNA from 1 species